GAUGAACGCCGGCGGCGUGCCUAACACAUGCAAGUCGAGCGGGAGGUAUUGGAAUGAAACUUCGGUAGAGUGAAGAUACUAAGAGCGGCGGACGGGUGAGUAACGCGUAGGCAACCUGCCCCAUACAGAGGGAUAGCCUCGGGAAACCGGGAUUAAAACCUCAUAAAACUGUGAGUUCACAUGGACAUACAGUCAAAGAUUUAUCGGUAUGGGAUGGGCCUGCGUCUGAUUAGCUAGUUGGUGGGGUAACGGCCUACCAAGGCAACGAUCAGUAGCCGACCUGAGAGGGUAAUCGGCCACAUUGGAACUGAGACACGGUCCAAACUCCUACGGGAGGCAGCAGUGGGGAAUAUUGCACAAUGGGCGAAAGCCUGAUGCAGCAACGCCGCGUGAGCGAAGAAGGCCUUUGGGUCGUAAAGCUCUGUCCUUGGGGAAGAAAAAAAUGACGGUACCCAUGGAGGAAGCCCCGGCUAACUACGUGCCAGCAGCCGCAGUAAAAC
rnacentral:rRNA from 1 species